rnacentral:lncRNA from 1 species
AUAUACUGACUUACACGCGAUCACGCAUUACUUGAUUGGCUGCUUCACUUUGCCCAUGAGGGGUACACGCUCCACUUUACCUCUCCUGAUUGGUUUCACACCUUCGCUUCAGCUUAGCGUUACAUCAUGCUUCUGGCAUCUUGUUAUUGCAUUCCUGUUUUGCUGAUCUUGACGCUUCUUCUUUUAGCCUGGGGUCAGAGGUUCACUUUCUCACAGCUUGCUGUAGGCCUGUUCAAGCACCCAUGCUCGACCCCCAACAGUCUUCUAAUCUUAUCUCAUUUGCUCUCCACUCCUACUCUUACGUUGCCAGUUCAUCAAUUUGCUUCUUGCGCAGGUGGAAUAUUUUGAUGGACUACUGUUACACCACACCACCUGAUAAUCCUAACAAUGAUAUUCAAUAUGAUCUUUUUUCAGCUGAAUCACUUCCUUAGGAAACAACGAAUUGUUCGCGCUGGGAUGGCAUUGUGAGAACCGAGAUUGGAGUCAAGCAAAUCUCCAUCCUGCAAUGUGCAGAGAAGAGGCCAGAGUACCGGGACACCCCAGUGACUGCAGAAGGGGAAGAAUGCUGCAAAACUCUUGACUCCAUGUAGAGCUCAAAAUGAGGACGUGAAGAAGAAAGAAGGAAAAAACGAUAGAAGUGGAUCUGCAGUACCCUUGUCAUGCCCUGAGACGCAGGUGCUGCUGCUGUUCCCCCUGUUUACAGGGUAACUGCUUUGGCUCUUGGGACUGCUCCUUAAGACAUUUUCAUUCUCUACCUUUAUCUCUUCUUUCCCUCAGGGUCGUCAUUUCAGGUGGGAAACGCCUGUCCCUCAGGAAAAGAAGGCGAACUACUCCCUCUAUAGGCUUUCCCCUUUGUUGCUUUCAUGAACCGGACAUCCAGGGGAUCAGAGCUGCAUGCAAACUUAGAAGGCUGGCAAGAACUCUGAAGGCCCUGCUGCCACAAUUGCACCAGCACUGCAGUUUAUGGCAUCAUUCCACACCAACAACAGUUGCAGAGCAGCAGGAGUGUGAAGAAUCAGCCAGAGGCAGGGCAGGGAUGGGAGGCAGAUGUUUGCAAGCUGGCCUUGCAAAUGAAGCCCCCUUUUGAAAAUGUGCAGCUGCCAGUGUACCUUUGCUCUGGUACAGGUCAGAGGGAAUUCUCCUGCAGUGUCUGAAGUAACACAUUAGGGAAGAACUGACACAUGGGUGAGUUAUAUAUUAACCACUAGAGAUGACCUUUCAGAGAGUGACAGAGUAACAAUCUCGCUGAUAAAGGAAAUAGCAACUUUUUCAUUUUGCAGAGCAUGGGUAUUCUUCCCAGUAAAAGACUGCACAGCUCUUCCCACUAAAUGAUACCAUUUUCAGUUCUUCCAUACUUUCUGAAAUGGAAUAAAUUGUUCAGAUGUUUUCAGUGCUAAAUAAAUGCCUCUUUCUGUUUCUUGUGGGGAGCUGAAGGUCGAAGGCAGGAAAUGUUUUAGCUAAAAUGAUGCAGCCAUUUCCAAGGAAGUGUCAGAAGAGCAACAUACAAGUUUGCUUGGGUUACAGAAGUAAUCUUAGCAGCCAUUCAGCACUGUGCUCACUUUUCCUUCCCAAGGCCUGGCCUUGUUCUGUGUUCAGCAUUACCAGAGAUCUGCUGCAAUGAAGUUUAUGUACUUAUGUCACUUAGGACACAGAUGAAUUGCUUUAACUUAUGCUUAAAAGCAAAAACCAGCCAGAGAUGACAAAUCUGAGUACUGUAUUUCACCAGUUAAAUGACUAAUGUUUUAGUUGUUUUUGAAGCUUCUGGUGAAAGCUGAAGCAUAAUGGUGAAAGAAAAAAUAAUAUAAGUUACAUAACACCACACAUAUGGAAUUGAUAAUGCUCUGGUUUUAUAAGGAAUAAAUUGUUCUUCCG